GCCAGUGUGGUACAGUGGUUAGAGUGUCGGGCUGGAACCUGGGAGACCAGGGUUCAAAUCCCAGUGCAUGUGACCCUGGGCC